AUUUCUGAAAACUAACCUUUGGUAUUUGGCUUGAAAUGCAGUUGGCAAAGAGCCCAAAGGAUUAAGUUCUCAGCAAUGCUGCUCCUGCUGCACACUAAUACUAAUUAGUCUCUAAAUGAAUGAACCUGGUGACUGAACUUGCAGCCCUAUAAGCAGAGGUCUGGACAUCCUUGGACAUCCUUGUGCCCCUCUGCUGCCCAGAGCCCACUGAAUAAUCUAUUCUCUUAGUCAUUGGUUUUAGUCACUCCAACAGGAGUGACUAAUCCAACUAGGAAAUAACAAGGCAUCUUCAAAGAGAAGAGAAAUGUACUAACCAUGAAAAUGACAACAUGGGGGUGGAAAUUCAAGUGAAUGACAUGUGGUUUUAAAAUCCUUGAAGAUGAUACAGUGAUGAUACAAGGACAGCUCCUCAGGACAACAGAACCAGGGAGGUUUUGGGUUUUCCAUGUCUGUAUCCAGAACCACAGCAGAGAAUCACUGCAGCCCACUGCAUUCAGCUUAUUGCACCACAGCUGAUUCCAUUUUCAAAAAUUCAGCUUUGGCUCUUGAAAAACUUGGACUUCUGGAUGUCUGAAGACCUGCAUGGUAUGUACCUGCAGAUACGAAGUUUAAGAAGUGGGAACUGGAGCAGCUGAAACACCAGGGUGAGUAAUCCUUUGCUGUUUGUUUAGCAGAGCUGGAGUUUGUGUUUCUCAGGUUGCAGAAUAUUGUACAAUGCUAAUCCUUCCUGGCUUCCUGUAUGGCCACCGUGGCUAAUGAAUCUUCUUGUAAUGCAUCUCUUUUACCUGCU
rnacentral:lncRNA from 1 species